rnacentral:tRNA from 1 species
GGCUAGGUGUUUCAGUAGGUAGAAUGCUAGACUUGGAAUCAGGAAGAUCCAAGUUCAAAUCUUGCCUUAGAUU